rnacentral:rRNA from 1 species
GUCAAGUCAUCAUGGCCCUUACGUCCAGGGCGACACACGUGCUACAAUGGCCGGCACAGCGGGCAGCCACUUGGCAACAAGGAGCGAAUCCCUAAAAGCCGGUCACAGUUCGGAUCGGGGCCUGCAACUCGGCCCCGUGAAGCUGGAAUCGCUAGUAAUCGCGCAUCAGCCAUGGCGCGGUGAAUACGUUCCCGGACCUU